rnacentral:rRNA from 1 species
UACAGAGGGGGCAAGCGUUGUUCGGAAUUACUGGGCGUAAAGGGCGCGUAGGCGGCCCGCUAAGUCGAACGUGAAAUCCCCGAGCUCAACUCGGGAACUGCGUCCGAUACUGGUGGGCUUGAAUCCGGGAGAGGGAUGCGGAAUUCCAGGUGUAGCGGUGAAAUGCGUAGAUAUCUGGAGGAACACCGGUGGCGAAGGCGGCAUCCUGGACCGGCAUUGACGCUGAGGCGCGAAAGCUAGGGGAGCAAACGGGAU